rnacentral:lncRNA from 1 species
GGGGGCUUGAAACCUCGCGGAGGGGGUUGGCCUCCGAGAUGCUGGCUAUUAUCAGGGGCCACGAAAAGGUUUGAAAUUGAGAAGAAUUCGAUCAGAGUUGAAUGUAAAUUAGGUCAUUGCGUCCUGCUGUGGAUUUGUGGUGAUCAGAUUUUGAGUUUGGAGUAGGGUGAUUGGCCCGCGGGGAAAGGAGGAGGACGGGGGCUGGUCUUAGGCAGCUGAAUUAGGAAGAGUAGGGGCCUGAGAGGAAAGGGGAAAACAGGUAAAAUUUACAGCCCUUGACGGCCUAAGGAGGUAAGUGACGGCGGAGGACACGAAGGCCAUCCUGACCCUUGGCACUAACAGCGGGCAAAGGAGGGACGUGCCAAGGCCUAGGGAUGGGGUAACCGCCCGAACCGAAGCUCGGGGUGGACUAUGUAGGUUCCGUCUAGAGCCGAGUGAGUUGGCUGCCAGGCGGAGAAGGUGCCGUUGAAUCCCCUGCGGAGGCGCCUCCGCGGUGCAAACGCCCCGGCAGAGCGCGCGCGGCGGCUCCUGUACGCAGCGCGCCCGGCGGAGACGCCUGCGCCGAACGCCGGGGGCCUGCGACGCGGCGGCAGCGGGGAGCGACGGGCCCGCUCUGCCCGACGGAGCGUGAUUCUCGCCGUUGCAGUUCCGGCCGCCGCCGCCUGCGCCCCUCUCCGCGGUAACAGGACUGAGCUGGAGCCAGGGCGAGCGCGGCGCCUUCUCCCUCGCCUUGCGUCAUUUUAGGCAUUUUGGUGCCAGGAAGAAGGAGGAGACGUGUAAUUUAUUGCUCCUUUGGGGGCUUGGGAGAGGACAAGUGUUUAUCUUGCCCCCUCAAGAUAUACUACAUAGAAAAGCAUUUUGGAAAAUGUCACUGUGGAGAUUCCUUAAAAUAGUGUACCGAUGGUUUUGCAGCUCUGUAUUUUACCAGCAGCUCUGCCAGCACAGUGUUUCAUCUCAGGCACAGCAAUGA